rnacentral:tRNA from 1 species
ACCUCAUUGGAUAGCUCAGUAGGUAGAGCAUGAGACUCUUAAUCUCAGGGUUGUGGGUUGAAGCCCCACAUUGGGCA